GUGUCGGGUUUCUGGAGAAGCCAAUCAGCGCCACCGCGGUUCGCGGUUCUAAACUCUCCAUCCAUUCGCCUCGACUCCGCUUCUCUCCAGACUCCGAGGCUGAGGAUCAUGGGGCCCCGAGCCCUCUUCUUGCUGCUGUCGGGGACCCUGGCCCUGACUGGUACCCGGGAGGGUCCCCACUCCCUGAGGUAUUUCGACACCGCCGUGUCCCGGCCCGACCGCGGGAAGCCCCGUUUCAUCUCCGUCGGCUACGUGGACGACACGCAGUUCGUGCGGUUCGACAGCGACGCCCCGAAUCCGCGGAUGGAGCCGCGGGCGCCGUGGAUAGAGCAGGAGGGGCAGGAGUAUUGGGAUGAGGAGACGCGGAACGCCAUGGGCAGCGCACAGACUUUCCGAGUGAACCUGAACAACCUGCGCGGCUACUACAACCAGAGCGAGGCCGGGUCUCACACCUUCCAGAGCAUGUACGGCUGCGACGUGGGGCCAGACGGGCUCCUCCUCCGCGGGUACAGUCAGUUUGGCUACGACGGCGCCGAUUACAUCGCCCUGAACGAGGACCUGCGCUCCUGGACCGCGGCGGACACGGCGGCUCAGAUCACCAAGCGCAAGAGGGAGGCGGCCGAUGCGGCGGAGCAAAUGAGAAGCUACCUGGAGGGCGCGUGUGUGGUGUGGCUCCAGAAAUACCUGGAGAUGGGGAAUAACACGCUGCAGCGCGCAGAGCCUCCAAAGACACAUGUGACCCGCCACCCCAGCUCUGACCUGGGGGUCACCCUGAGGUGCUGGGCCCUGGGCUUCUACCCUAAGGAGAUCUCCCUGACCUGGCAGCGCGAGGGCCAGGACCAGAGCCAAGACAUGGAGCUGGUGGAGACCAGGCCCUCAGGGGAUGGGACCUUCCAGAAGUGGGCGGCCCUGGUGGUGCCUCCUGGAGAGGAGCAGAGCUACACCUGCCAUGUGCAGCACGAGGGCCUGCAGGAGCCCCUCACCCUGAGAUGGGACCCUCCUCAGCCCCCCGUCCCCAUCGUGGGCAUCACUGUUGGCCUGGUUCUCGUCCUGGUUGCUGGAGCCGUGGUGGCUGGAGUUGUGAUCUGGAGGAAGAAGCGCUCAGGUAGGGAAGGGAGUGGGGAUCUGAGUCUCCUUGUCUCACUGGGGUUUCAAGCCCAGGUGGAAGUUGACCUGCCUUAUUCCUGGGACAUCCCCUCCACACACAUGUGCUGAGUCUGGGGCUGAGCGCUGCCACGUACCCUUCUGUGAAGCACAUGUGAUAGUCAAAGACUAAUUAUUCCCCAGGAUAAUUCCAGUUGGCGUCUAGUUUCUCAGCACUUGAAGGUCAGAGGUGAAGGACCCCACUGAGGAGAGGCGUCCAGGAGGGCAGUUGGUCCAGUCUCCCCCACAUCUCCUUGCUGUAUACUCCUGAUCCUGUCCUGGAUUUUUGUUGAAAGUUCUACACUGGUUGUGAGAUCCAGGACUAGGUUUCUUGUAGGAUCUUAUGGCUCAGUUUUCUUUUUGGCCUCUCACAUAAAUGUUAUCUUCCCCCAGGUGAAAAAGGAGGGAGCUACACUCAGGCUGCAGGCAGUGACAGUGCCCAGGGCUCUGAUGUGUCCCUCACCAAGGAUCCUAGAGUGUGAGACAGCUGCCUUGUGGGGACUAAGGGACACAAGAUUUGUUCACGUCCCACUUUGUGACUUCAGACCCCCUGACUCCUAUUUCUGCAGCUGCCUCUGAAAGGGUCUGUGUUCCUAUGAGCAUCCUGAGAGGAGGUGGGGACCCUGGCCCAGCCCUGCCCCCCAUGUCCCCUCUUCACCCUGACCUGUGUUCUCUUUCCUGAUCCACUUUCCAGCUCCAACAGGUUGGGGGGAGGCAGGCGGCAAUGGACCAUCUCCAUCCUUAUGCUAAGUUCAUUGCCCUGACUGGUGACUGCGGGGAGCCGAGGAAACACAGGAGGCCAAGGAAGGGAACUAGCCUGACGGCACAGUUCCAAAGGCAGGGUUCCUAACCAAGGGAAAAGAGCCUACCCACCGGCGCAGUUCCAAGGGUAGGUUUAGAAAUAGGGAAAGGGGCUUACCCAGUGGCACAGUUCCAAGGGCAAGUUAUAAAAAUAAUGAGGCUCACCUGCUAACCCGACUACAACGGCAACAAUAACAAAACGAAGGUUUUGCACAAUAGUGCAAGAAUAAAAAUUGCUUCUUGGAAAAUUCAGUCUUUCCUGUUGUUUACUUAUUACUCAGCCUUUUCUGUUAUUUGUUUGUUAUUCUUUGUUAUUUUUCUAUAUUGUUUUGUGAUUCAGUAAAAUUGGAACAACAAAAAUUGGAAUGAGUUUCACCUUGGUGAAAUUCCCCCUAUUCAGAUCUAAUACAAGCAAAAACAAAGUGUUCACUGGUUUGUUACAAGUAAAAAUAGGUUUUAGAGUUAGGUAUUUGUGGAGUGUACAAUAGGUUAGAAUAGGUUAGACAUACAUCAUUCUUGAUGGAAAAUAUAAUCUUGCUUUUAAUAAGUUUUGUAGGGAGCUUUUAAGUUUUAUGAAAUUAAGUUGCUUUGAUAUAUAAAAUAUUUUCUCAUACUGUCCCCUGACUGUAAUACCUUGAAGUUAGUACCUUAAGCUUUAAUCUAAAAAAUGAGUUUUUGUAAAUGUUAAAUUCUUGUACUUGUGACCUUUCUAGUUGUUAAAGAUUAGCUUAAAACAAUAACGGGUGGUGCUUGCUAAAAGUAACCACAAGCCGUUUUAUACUGAAUUGCCUUAUUUUUAUAUAAUGAUUUUUCAGCAUAAUGUUUUGUACCCAUUAUAAUUUUACAUGAUGCAUUGUAUCCAUUAGUUUUAACUAAAAUUCUUAGAGCACAAUGUGUAUCUACUGUACCACAUAGUCUAAAAUUUAACCUUUGAAAGUAUGAUGUAAACAUUGUGAUGUAAGUUACAGUUAAGCUGUCUAUAUAAACUGUUACCUAUACUAAUAAAAUUUGAGCAGUCCAGCGCCUUGAGAGAAGG